rnacentral:sRNA from 1 species
AUACAUCUCCCAGGCCUAUGUGAUCAGGGGUGAUACCCUGCGGACGGAGCUGCCCCAGAGGGACGUGUUCUCGGGCAGUGACACAGACCCAGACAUGGCCUUCUGUAAGAGCUUUCGAGACAAGGGCAUCUUCCUCCAUCUGAGCAAUCAGCAUGAAUUUGGCCGGCUCCUGGCCACUUCCCGAUACGACACGGAGCACCUGCACCCUGACCUCUGGCAGAUCUUCGACAACCCCGUCGAUUGGAAGGAGCAGUACAUCCACGAGAACUACAGCCGGGCCCUGGAAGGGGAAGGAAUCGUGGAGCAGGUGAGCCCGCACAGCCUCCCCACCCGCCCCCUGCCCUCAUGGCCAUCGCCUCCUGGGGGCCUCCGAUUCAAAGUUUUCACACUGAGUUCCCCAGAGAUCUGAGGGUUUUCUGUUCAGACAAGAUGAAGGCAGAGGCCGAGCAGAAGGGACUCUUGCCCCCAAACCCAGCAUUGAUCAGACAGCCUCUCUUCUCCUGUGUAUUGGGUAUAUUGGUGUUAUGCAUGAAAUCACAUCUUUAAAGAAGAAUGGGGCUGGGCUCAGUGGCUCA